AUUGAACGCUGGCGGCAGGCUUAACACAUGCAAGUCGAACGAGUGGCGGACGGGUGAGUACUGCUCGGGCAUCUGGCUUAUGGAGGGGGAUAACGACGGGAAACUGUCGCUAAUACCGCGUACCAUAGGAUGAGCCCAAGUGGGAUUAGGUAGGUGGUGGGGUAAUGUCCUACCAAGCCGACGAUGUCUAGCCGGUCUGAGAGGAUGACCAGCCACAGCGGGACGGAGACACGGCCCGGACUCCUACGUGAGGAAGCAUAGGGGAAUAUUGCGCAAUGGGGGCAACCUGACGCAGCCAUGCGGCGUGAAUGAAGAAGGUCUUCGGGUUGUAAAGUUAGUUCGGGGAGGAGGCGUUAAUCACAGAAGAAGCACCGGCUAACUCCGUGCCAGCAGCCGCAGUAAUUC
rnacentral:rRNA from 1 species